UACAGAGGUCUCAAGCGUUGUUCGGAUUCAUUGGGCGUAAAGGGUGUGUAGGUGGCGCCGUAAGUCGGGUGUGAAAUUUCGAGGCUUAACCUCGAAACUGCAUUCGAUACUGCGGUGCUUGAGGACUGGAGAGGAGACUGGAAUUCAUGGUGUAGCAGUGAAAUGCGUAGAGAUCAUGAGGAAGACCAGUGGCGAAGGCGGGUCUCUGGACAGUUCCUGACACUGAGACACGAAGGCCAGGGGAGCAAACGGG
rnacentral:rRNA from 1 species